rnacentral:hammerhead_ribozyme from 1 species
AUCCAGAUGACGGGUUCUAAACCGGACGAAAUGAGCAUCCUGGAU